rnacentral:tRNA from 1 species
UGGCUCGUAGCUCAGCAGGUUAGAGCGCGGCUCUUAUAAGGUCGUAGUCGUGGGUUCAAGUCCCACCGAGCCAACCA